rnacentral:rRNA from 1 species
GGGCCCGCACAAGCGGUGGAGCAUGUGGUUUAAUUCGAUGAUACGCGAGGAACCUUACCAGGACUUAAAUGUAAGUUGCAUGAUUCAGAAAUGAAUCUUUCUUCGGACUACUUACAAGGUGCUGCAUGGUUGUCGUCAGCUCGUGCCGUGAGGUGUCAGGUUAAGUCCUAUAACGAGCGCAACCCCUAUCGUUAGUUGCCAUCAAGUAAAGUUGGGAACUCUAGCGAAACUGCCGGUGCAAACCGAGAGGAAGGUGGGGAUGACGUCAAAUCAUCACGGCCCUUACGUUCUGGGCUACACACGUGCUACAAUGGUCGGUACAGAAAGCAGCCACUAUGCGAAUAGGAGCUAAUCUCACAAAACCGGUCGUAGUCCGGAUUGCAGUCUGCAACUCGACUGCAUGAAGCUGGAAUCGCUAGUAAUCGCGGAU